CCCAAGCUUAUAGAUUAUUUCAAAAGGCAUUCUAAUGAGUUUGCUUGCCACAAGCGGGUUGAUCAUCCAAUUAUCGAUCAGAGUUUCUUUCUUGACACCACUCACAAAAUGAGGCUUAAGGAGGAGUUUGAGAUUGAACCUUGGACUUUCAUGCAACAUGUAGGAGAAGUUGUUAUCAUUCCUGCUGGAUGUCCCUACCAGAUUAAGAGCCCUAAGGUCAUUUUUGCAACAGUAUUGACAGUCUGAAUUAAGAAAGAUAUAUGAAACAUUAUUUUUAUUCUCCAUGAGUAAAAGUUAUAUCUUAUAAGUUCCCUCUUGCUGCUUAUAACUGAUUAAUAUUUCCCCAUUAAAUGAGAGAAUAUGAUUUAGAUUUUCUAUUUUAUAUAUUAAUCUGCCUCAAGUUGGCUUGAAUUAUCUAUAAUAUUUAUGCAUUUUUGUUCUGAUUCUCUGA